UACGUAGGGUGCAAGCGUUAAUCGGAAUUACUGGGCGUAAAGCGUGCGCAGGCGGUUGUGCAAGACAGGUGUGAAAUCCCCGGGCUUAACCUGGGAACUGCACUUGUGACUGCACGGCUUGAGUGCGGCAGAGGGGGAUGGAAUUCCGCGUGUAGCAGUGAAAUGCGUAGAUAUGCGGAGGAAUACCGGUGGCGAAGGCGGCAUCCUGGACCAUUACUGACGCUGAGGCGCGAAAGCUAGGGGAGCAAACGGG
rnacentral:rRNA from 1 species